GCUAAGAAUAUUCCGCAAUGGACGAAAGUCUGACGGAGCGACGCCGCGUGGAUGAGGAAGGCCGAAAGGUUGUAAAGUCCUUUUGUCGAUGAAGAAUAAGUGGUGGAGGGAAUGCCAUCAUGAUGACGUUAGUCGGCGAAUAAGCCCCGGCUAAUUACGUGCCAGCAGCCGCGGUAACACGUAAGGGGCAAGCGUUGUUCGGAAGUAUUGGGCGUAAAGGGUACGUAGGCGGUUAUGUAAGCCCGGCGUGAAAUCCUGCAGCUUAACUGUAGAGCUGCGCUGGGAGCUGCGUAGCUGGAGUCAUGGAAGGGAAGUUAGAAUUCCAGGUGUAGGGGUGAAAUCUGUAGAUAUCUGGAAGAAUACCGGUGGCGAAGGCGAACUUCUGGCCAAUGACUGACGCUGAGGUACGAAAGUGCGGGGAGCAAACAGGAUUAGAAACCCCUGUAGUCC
rnacentral:rRNA from 1 species